UGAAUAAGGACCGGCUAAUUCCGUGCCAGCAGCCGCGGUAAUACGGAAGGUCCGGGCGUUAUCCGGAUUUAUUGGGUUUAAAGGGAGUGUAGGCGGUCUGUUAAGCGUGUUGUGAAAUUUAGGUGCUCAACAUUUAACUUGCAGCGCGAACUGUCAGACUUGAGUACACGCAGCGCAGGCGGAAUUCAUGGUGUAGCGGUGAAAUGCUUAGAUAUCAUGAGGAACUCCGAUCGCGAAGGCAGCCUGCGGGAGUGUUACUGACGCUUAAGCUCGAAGGUGCGGGUAUCGAACAGGAUUAGAUACCCUGGUAGUCCGCACUGUAAACGAUGGAUGCCCGCCGUUGGCGCCCUGCGCCUGCGGCCAAGCGAAAGCAUUAAGCAUCCCACCUGGGGAGUACGCCGGCAACGGUGAAACUCAAAGGAAUUGACGGGGGCCCGCACAAGCGGAGGAACAUGUGGUUUAAUUCGAUGAUACGCGAGGAACCUUACCCGGGCUUGAAUUGCAGUCGCUGCCCACAGAGACGUGGGCUUCCCUUCGGGGCGUCUGUGAAGGUGCUGCAUGGUUGUCGUCAGCUCGUGCCGUGAGGUGUCGGCUUAAGUGCCAUAACGAGCGCAACCCCCUUUCCCAGUUGCCAUCGGGUGAUGCCGGGCACUCUGGGGACACUGCCACCGCAAGGUGCGAGGAAGGUGGGGAUGACGUCAAAUCAGCACGGCCCUUACGUCCGGGGCUACACACGUGUUACAAUGGCCGGUACAGAGGGACGGUGCAAUGCAAGUUGCAUCCAAUCUUGAAAUCCGGUCCCAGUUCGGACUGGGGUCUGCAACCCGACCCCACGAAGCUGGAUUCGCUAGUAAUCGCGCAUCAGCCAUGGCGCGGUGAAUACGUUCCCGGGCCUUGUACACACCGCCCGUCAAGCCAUGAAAGCCGGGGGUGCCUGAAGUUCGUGACCGCGAGGAGCGACCUAGGGCAAGACCGGU
rnacentral:rRNA from 1 species